GGAUCCAGACUUUGAUCCUGGCUCAGGAUGAACGCUAGCUACAGGCCUAACACAUGCAAGUCGAGGGGAAACGACAUCGAAAGCUUGCUUUUGAUGGGCGUCGACCGGCGCACGGGUGAGUAACGCGUAUCCAACCUGCCCACCACUUGGGAAUAACCUUGCGAAAGUAAGACUAAUACCCAAUGAUAUCUCUAGAAGACAUCUGAAGGAGAUUAAAGAUUUAUCGGUGAUGGAUGGGGAUGCGUCUGAUUAGCUUGUUGGCGGGGUAACGGCCCACCAAGGCGACGAUCAGUAGGGGUUCUGAGAGGAAGGUCCCCCACAUUGGAGCUGAGACACGGUCCAAACUCCUACGGGAGGCAGCAGUGAGGAAUAUUGGUCAAUGGGCGAGAGCCUGAACCAGCCAAGUAGCGUGCAGGAUGACGGCCCUAUGGGUUGUAAACUGCUUUUAUAAGGGAAUAAAGUGAGAGUCGUGACUCUUUUUGCAUGUACCUUAUGAAUAAGGACCGGCUAAUUCCGUGCCAGCAGCCGCGGUAUACGGAAGGUCCGGGCGUUAUCCGGAUUUAUUGGGUUUAAAGGGAGCGUAGGCCGGAGAUUAAGCGUGUUGUGAAAUGUAGAUGCUCAACAUCUGCACUGCAGCGCGAACUGGUUUCCUUGAGUACGCACAAAGUGGGCGGAAUUCGUGGUGUAGCGGUGAAAUGCUUAGAUAUCACGAAGAACUCCGAUUGCGAAGGCAGCUCACUGGAGCGCAACUGACGCUGAAGCUCGAAAGUGCGGGUAUCGAACAGGAUUAGAUACCCUGGUAGUCCGCACGGUAAACGAUGGAUGCCCGCUGUUGGUCUGAAUAGGUCAGCGGCCAAGCGAAAGCAUUAGCAUCCCACCUGGGGAGUACGCCGGCAACGGUGCAACUCAAAGGAAUUGACGG
rnacentral:rRNA from 1 species